UGAAACUAAACAACCACCGGCUAAAGCCGGUGGUUGUUUAGUUUGGUCUCAUUAUUGAAAAAUCAAAUUUGCCGUCCCGGCA
rnacentral:ncRNA from 20 species